UUGGCCCUGAAUCAAGGCCAUCGGUUUGCUGUAGCCGCUGGUUUCAAGCAGGAGCCCAGAGGAACGUGUUCCUGUGGGAUGUUGGCCAGUCCGGAGCGUCAGGAGGGAAUGGCCCAACUCACUGGAAGCAACAGAA
rnacentral:snoRNA from 1 species